rnacentral:misc_RNA from 1 species
CGCAAUUGAACUUCAAGGUCUAUUACUUCGAUCCAGAGAUCGUCCGCAACCUGAUCUCCACCUCCGUCAGACAAGCCCUCGAACAACCCCUCAACUACGCCAGAAAUUACCUCGCUGACCUCCUCGAACCCUGCGUCGAGAGGGUUAUAUACCUCGACUCCGAUCUGGUUCUCGUCGACGACAUUGCCAAGCUCUGGAGCACCAGUCUAGGUUCUAGAACCAUUGGCGCCCCCGAGUACUGCCACGCCAACUUCACCAAGUACUUCACCG